UGGGGAAUAUUGGACAAUGGGCGCAAGCCUGAUCCAGCCAUGCCGCGUGAGUGAUGAAGGCCCUAGGGUUGUAAAGCUCUUUCGGCGGGGAAGAUAAUGACGGUACCCGCAUAAGAAGCCCCAGCUAACUUCGUGCCAGCAGCCGCGGUAAUACGAAGGGGGCUAGCGUUGCUCGGAAUCACUGGGCGUAAAGCGCACGUAGGCGGACUCUUAAGUCAGGGGUGAAAUCCUGGAGCUCAACUCCAGAACUGCCUUUGAUACUGGGAGUCUCGAGUUCGAGAGAGGUGAGUGGAACUGCGAGUGUAGAGGUGAAAUUCGUAGAUAUUCGCAAGAACACCAGUGGCGAAGGCGGCUCACUGGCUCGAUACUGACGCUGAGGUGCGAAAGCGUGGGGAGCAAACA
rnacentral:rRNA from 1 species